rnacentral:rRNA from 2 species
AAAUUGAAGAGUUUGAUCAUGGCUCAGAUUGAACGCUGGCGGCAGGCCUAACACAUGCAAGUCGAACGGUAACAGGAAGCAGCUUGCUGCUUCGCUGACGAGUGGCGGACGGGUGAGUAAUGUCUGGGAAACUGCCUGAUGGAGGGGGAUAACUACUGGAAACGGUGGCUAAUACCGCAUAACGUCGCAAGACCAAAGAGGGGGACCUUCGGGCCUCUUGCCAUCAGAUGUGCCCAGAUGGGAUUAGCUUGUUGGUGAGGUAACGGCUCACCAAGGCGACGAUCCCUAGCUGGUCUGAGAGGAUGACCAGCCACACUGGAACUGAGACACGGUCCAGACUCCUACGGGAGGCAGCAGUGGGGAAUAUUGCACAAUGGGCGCAAGCCUGAUGCAGCCAUGCCGCGUGUAUGAAGAAGGCCUUCGGGUUGUAAAGUACUUUCAGCGGGGAGGAAGGUGUUGCGGUUAAUAACCGCAGCAAUUGACGUUACCCGCAGAAGAAGCACCGGCUAACUCCGUGCCAGCAGCCGCGGUAAUACGGAGGGUGCAAGCGUUAA